rnacentral:lncRNA from 1 species
CUGGAAAUGAGAAAAAAUAAUUUAACAAAUCUUUUCCAGAUAUCUGAUAUGUGCCUUGGAAGACUAAAGAUAUUUAAAGAUGUUCAGGUUAAAGGUUGAAAGAUGUACAUUAAAUGGAAGUGUUAAAUUCCCUAAAGUGUGUGGAAAAUGAAACUGUUACUCUGUGUUCACAGGUAAUUUAAAUUGAAAAAAGGAAUAUUCUAGAGGCACCGUUUUACUGCAUGAUCAUAAAGAUUUCUUUCUGUUACUCAUGUUGGAAUGUCAUUUUUACUAAUUAAAAAAAAAAAAAAAAACAACAGGGAGAUGCAAGCUUCCAACUUCUCUGUGUGACUGUCUUCAAUCUAUCUUAAUGUAAUUUCUAGAAAAUACUAGGUUAAAACAAAGCUUUGUUAUUGACUGCAGGUAAAUUCCUUUUUAUAAAGGAAACUUACAUGUACACCUUGAUGGUGUGUUUCAAGACUCUGAGUAUAAAAAUGUCUCCAUUUUUAAAGGUCAGCCCUUGUCAAGCCAUCUCAAACUGAACACCUCUUCCUUUUCCUGACUAUCGGCUGGUCUAGUAAAAUAAUUCACUUUCCCUUACAAACUGGUUUAUAAUUUUAAAUUUUGCUUGAUAAAAUAUGUUAAAGUGAAAGAUACAUCAUGUCAGGAGCUGAAUUCUGAAAAAACACCUAGUCAGGUGCAAGAAAAUACCGCACUAAUUUUCAGUUUCUCUGAAUUCAGCCUGGUGAGUCUCACCCAGGACAACCUGCAGAGCUGGCGAGCAGGAAUCUGGAAUAGCAGCAGCAGCCCUGGGUGUUGGCUCUCUGCUCUGUGGCACCAUAGCAAUUUGGGAGUGGCUUUGUUUAAUUAAUAAUCAAAAUACGCCACUUGCUGCCUUUAGUUUUAUUAGGGAAAAGGACAGAGAGCAGCUGUGUCUGGUCACAGUAAUGAGGUUUAAGUGUUAUGGGAGAUUAGAGAGACCCUUUUCUGUUCAUGAAAAAUGACUGUCAUUUUGAAAAAAAUCCAUCUGGGAAUGAAAAAGCAUGGCCUCUAACUUGUGGAUAUCUGGUAAGAUCUGUAAGCAUGAAGAAUGUUUUAAAUGAAGGCAUGAAUCAGUCACAGAGUCAGUGCUUUACAAAGGAGUUAACCAGAUGUCAAGAUUUAAUAACCUUUGAAACACCUAAUGUAGACAUCGAAGUCAUGCACACGAUGAAGCAUGUAUGUGUUCAGGCAUCCUGA